GGCUGGUCAAAGUACAGUGGUGUUUACAAUUAAUUGAUCACGACUAGUCAUAGAUUUGUUUCUUCUCCACUCCCAUUGUCUUACUUGACUAGCCUUAA
rnacentral:Y_RNA from 1 species